rnacentral:rRNA from 1 species
UACGGGGGGAGCAAGCGUUGUUCGGAUUUACUGGGCGUAAAGGGCGCGUAGGCGGUCGUGACAAGUCACUUGUGAAAUCUCCGGGCUUAACUCGGAACGGUCAAGUGAUACUGUCGGACUAGAGUACAGAAGGGGCAACUGGAAUUCUCGGUGUAGCGGUGAAAUGCGUAGAUAUCGUAAGGAAGACCAGUGGCGAAGGCGGGUCUCUGGACAGUUCCUGACGCUGAGACGCGAAAGCGUGGGGAGCGAACAGG